rnacentral:lncRNA from 1 species
AGGCUAAAAAAUUUAUAAGAUAUAUUAUUCAGAAUUCGGCUACUAUACUAUCGAUAGGUCCCAUCGAGUUUUUUACCAUUAGAUCUACUAUUUAAUCAUUUCCAUCGGUUAGAUUAUAUUAUGCAACCAACAACUUACUCAAUUCUAGGGAAUCAUUAUUAUCCUAACCAUACAUCCUUUUAUUCAACGGCGAAAAUUCGAUAGCACUUAGCGUUUGAUAUUAUCGAUAAUAUAAUAGCAUAAUUCUAUUAUUCAUGGGUUUUCAAAAAAAGUAUUACUUUUUUGAAAACUUAAGCUCUGAUAGAGUUUGCUAAAGUAAUAUUUUAAUAUAGGGGUAAUUGCCUAUAUAUUCCUCAAAACUUUAAAAAUACCUUAUUUAUUUUUACUUUUUUUUUUCUUUUUAUUAUAUCUUUCGUAUGUUCCUCUGUUAUUCCAAAAUACUCCUGCCGUUAAGUUAACUUAGGUUGAACGUCAGUCAAAUAUCUACUAGAGUGUUAAAAAAAAUCAAAAUAUCUCGUUUGUCCUUAACUUAAGGGCAAAUAAGAAAUAUUGGUGAUGGUCGAAAGGUAUAUUUAAAAAGAUCAAAAAUUAAAAUACUUUUUAUAACCCUAACUUAAGGGCAAAUAAGAAAAAUCGGUGAUGGUGGAAGGGUAUAUUCGAAAAGGCAAAAUAGUAAUUUUAUACGGAUAACAACUAUUACUAACAGUUCAUUACAUAAUUUAACUCUAGAGGUAUAUUUAAAAUAGUUUGGAAUGUAAAAAAAAAUAUUUUUAAUAUAAUCAGAAGGUCGGAAACUUUUCAGAAAUAUAUAAAUAAUUGUCUUUUUAGUAUAUUUACUAUUUAUCAGCGCCACUUUUAGAUUUGAGAAUUUUUUGAUAAGUU